rnacentral:hammerhead_ribozyme from 1 species
AUCUAGCUGACGAGUCCAAAAUAGGACGAAGUGACGCGCCACUAUCCAUUUAU